CAGUAGCCGCGGUAAUACGAAGGGUGCAAGCGUUAAUCGGAAUUACUGGGCGUAAAGCGUGCGCAGGCGGUUGUGUAAGACAGGUGUGAAAUCCCCGGGCUUAACCUGGGAACUGCGCUUGUGACUGCACAGCUAGAGUAUGGCAGAGGGGGGUGGAAUUCCACGUGUAGCAGUGAAAUGCGUAGAGAUGUGGAGGAACACCGAUGGCGAAGGCAGCCCCCUGGGCCAAUACUGACGCUCAUGCACGAAAGCGUGGGGAGCAAACAGGAUUAGAUACCCGUGUAGUCCCUGUCUCUUAUAU
rnacentral:rRNA from 1 species